rnacentral:rRNA from 1 species
UAUGUGAUCGUCUCUCGCAUAUCAAUAAGCGGAGGAAAAGAAACUAACAAGGAUUCCCCUAGUAACGGCGAGUGAAGCGGGAAGAGCUCAAAUUUGAAAUCUUAAAGGGUUUCCCUUUACGAAUUGUAGUUUAAAGAAGUGUUUUCUGUUGAGGUUUUGGUAAAAGUUCUUUGGAAUAGGACAUCAUAGAGGGUGAGAAUCCCGUAUUUGACCUUUACUUUCAACUUUGUGAUACACUUUCAAAGAGUCGGAUUGUUUGGGAAUGCAGUCCAAAAUGGGUGGUAAAUUUCAUCUAAAGCUAAAUAUUGGCGAGAGACCGAUAGCGAACAAGUACCGUGAGGGAAAGAUGAAAAGAACUUUGAAAAGAGAGUUAAACAGUACGUGAAAUUGUCAAAAGGGAAGCGUUUGACACCAGUGUUGUUUUUCUGAAAAUCAAUUAAAGAACUGUUUAUGCUAAGCUGUUUAGACUUUAUCAGCUAUCUGCUUAGUUUUGAGCUUUUCUUUAGUGCACUUUUCAGUUAACAAGUCAACAUCAGUUUCUUUUGCUGUAAAAAAGCUUGAGGAAGGUGGCUUGAGAUUCGUCUUAAGUGUUUAUAGCCUCUUGCCUAUGCAGUCGGAGAGAUUGAGGUCUGCAGCGUAGAUCCUUCGGGGCUAAAUGCAUUUGUGCUAAGUUAUAGCAUUUUAUAGACAACUUGUUGACUAUGAUUUGUCUUGUAGCUUACUCGCUUAUGUUAUUUUACCUACGCUUAGGAUGUUGACACAACGCGCGUGCUCG